rnacentral:rRNA from 1 species
GUGGGGAAUAUUGGACAAUGGGGGGAACCCUGAUCCAGCCAUGCCGCGUGUGUGAAGAAGGCCUUUUGGUUGUAAAGCACUUUAAGCGAGGAGGAGGCUACCGAGAUUAAUACUCUUGGAUAGUGGACGUUACUCGCAGAAUAAGCACCGGCUAACUCUGUGCCAGCAGCCGCGGUAAUACAGAGGGUGCAAGCGUUAAUCGGAUUUACUGGGCGUAAAGCGCGCGUAGGUGGCCAAUUAAGUCAAAUGUGAAAUCCCCGAGCUUAACUUGGGAAUUGCAUUCGAUACUGGUUGGCUAGAGUAUGGGAGAGGAUGGUAGAAUUCCAGGUGUAGCGGUGAAAUGCGUAGAGAUCUGGAGGAAUACCGAUGGCGAAGGCAGCCAUCUGGCCUAAUACUGACACUGAGGUGCGAAAGCGUGGGGAGCAAACAGGAUUAGAAACCCCGGUAGUCC